CGGCUGUCGUCAGCUCGUGUCGUGAGAUGUUGGGUUAAGUCCCGCAACGAGCGCAACCCUUGUCAUUAAUUGCCAUCAUUUAGUUGGGCACUUUAAUGAGACUGCCGGUGACAAACCGGAGGAAGGUGGGGAUGACGUCAAGUCCUCAUGGCCCUUAUGGGUAGGGCUUCACACGUCAUACAAUGGUCGGUACAGAGGGUUGCCAAGCCGCGAGGUGGAGCCAAUCCCAGAAAGCCGAUCGUAGUCCGGAUCGCAGUCUGCAACUCGACUGCGUGAAGUCGGAAUCGCUAGUAAUCGCGGAUCAGCAUGUCGCGGUGAAUACGUUCCCGGGUCUUGUACGCACCGCCCGUCACACCAUGGGAGUGGGUUCUACCAGAAGUAGUUAGCCUAACCGUAAGGAGGGCGAUUACCACGGUAGGAUUCAUGACUGGG
rnacentral:rRNA from 1 species